GUGGGGAAUAUUGGACAAUGGGGGGAACCCUGAUCCAGCCAUGCCGCGUGUGUGAAGAAGGUCUUCGGAUUGUAAAGCACUUUAAGUUGGGAGGAAGGGCAGUAAGUUAAUACCUUGCUGUUUUGACGUUACCGACAGAAUAAGCACCGGCUAACUUCGUGCCAGCAGCCGCGGUAAUACGAAGGGUGCAAGCGUUAAUCGGAAUUACUGGGCGUAAAGCGCGCGUAGGUGGUUUUGUAAGUUGGAGGUGAAAUCCCCGGGCUCAACCUGGGAACUGCCUCCAAAACUGCAUGACUAGAGUACGGUAGAGGGUAGUGGAAUUUCCUGUGUAGCGGUGAAAGGCGUAGAUAUAGGAAGGAACACCAGUGGCGAAGGCGACUACCUGGACUGAUACUGACACUGAGGUGCGAAAGCGUGGGGAGCAAACAGGAUUAGAAACCCCAGUAGUCC
rnacentral:rRNA from 1 species